UAAACGGCUUUUUUCAGAGCCACAAGGUGUUUUUAAAACGUUUUGU
rfam:Operophtera brumata OBRT01_Sc02962, whole genome shotgun sequence.